rnacentral:rRNA from 1 species
UGGGGAAUAUUGCACAAUGGGGGAAACCCUGAUGCAGCGACGCCGCGUGAGUGAAGAAGUAAUUCGUUACGUAAAGCUCUAUCAGCAGGGAAGAAAAUGACGGUACCUGAGUAAGAAGCCCCGGCUAACUACGUGCCAGCAGCCGCGGUAAUACGUAGGGGGCAAGCGUUAUCCGGAUUUACUGGGUGUAAAGGGAGCGUAGACGGUGCGCCAAGUCUGGAGUGAAAUGCCGCAGCUUAACUGCGGAACUGCUUUGGAAACUGGCGAACUAGAGUGCGGGAGGGGUAAGCGGAAUUCCUAGUGUAGCGGUGAAAUGCGUAGAUAUUAGGAGGAACACCAGUGGCGAAGGCGGCUUACUGGACUGUAACUGACGUUGAGGCUCGAAAGCGUGGGGAGCAAACAGG